UGGUGACUGGAGAUGCAGCUCCGAUUUCGCUGCGUCAUCCCGAAAAAGUUAAUAAAAACAGCGAUUUAUCACACUCCUAACAGUAAUCAAUCUCCUACCGAUUGUCGGUUCGGAUUUGGAUUCGAAUUUGGGGCUUCGGAUCCCGGAGAGGGGAAAUUACUUACAUGAUCGACUUCAAUGCAAACAGACCGCGGGUGGCAUGCCACCAAAGAUGUAAAAGGAAGCCGGGAAAUCCCAAUUACGUGAUGAGGCGCCGCUGGAAAAGAAUUUCCCCGCACUUUCUUUUAUUUCCAAUCCGAAAACCGAAAAGAUCAGCUUUGCCUGCCCACCGCUAAUUCCCUUUCAAUUUCCAAACUUGCGCAUUUAUUUAAGUCAGCGUCCUGGGUGCUCUGCCUUUAUAAUUGGCGUCGCACGCCCAAUUGAGGGGGCGUGGCAGAUCGGAUAUGAAUGCGUGCGGGUACGAGCAUAUAAUUGCCGCGGCGACCGGAGGAUGUGUUGAAUUGAAAAGCCUGCCGGGUAAUCCGAUCGAUCGAUUCUAUCCCGGUGUCCAGCUCACCAGUUGACCAGCUCCCCAGCGGAGUUGCGACUCCUGGCCGCUGCUAAGUGAGCCGGGCGUUCCUGGCUGGGCACUCGCUCGACGCUUUCAACAACUACUUGUCCUGCUGCCGCAGCAAAUUCGAUGCACUCAAACAAACGUAUCUAAUAUACUGGACAAAUUAACAGAAAAAAUAAAAAUAUUUCUUUAGAACUAAUUGUUUAAGAAACUGAUAGGCACUUCAAUUUGUUUUAAAUUAUUUAAAAUAUUUCUGUAUUACUGUAAGCAUUAUUUAUUUAUAUUUUUUAAAUUUGUGAAAUAAAUGUUCACAGUUAAAA